AGGACGAACGCUGGCGGCGUGCUUAACACAUGCAAGUCGCACGGCCCGCAAGGGCAGUGGCGGACGGGUGCGUAACACGUGAGGAAUGUACCCUUCGGUGGGGGAUAGCCGGCCCAACGGCCGGGUAAUACCGCAUACGCAGCUCGGGUGGCAUCACCUGGGUUGGAAAGCAGCAAUGCACCGAUGGAGCACCUCGCGGCCUAUCAGCUUGUUGGUGAGGUAAUGGCUCACCAAGGCGACGACGGGUAGCUGGUCUGAGAGGAUGAUCAGCCACAUUGGGACUGAGACACGGCCCAGACUCCUACGGGAGGCAGCAGUGGGGAAUAUUGCGCAAUGGGCGAAAGCCUGACGCAGCGACGCCGCGUGCGGGAUGAAGGCCUUCGGGUUGUAAACCGCUGUCGGGAGGGACGAAAUCAAUGACGGUACCUCCAAAGGAAGCACCGGCUAACUCUGUGCCAGCAGCCGCGGUAAUACAGAGGGUGCAAGCGUUGUCCGGAAUUACUGGGCGUAAAGGGCGCGUAGGCGGUUCGGUAAGUAGGGGGUGAAAUGCUGCGGCUCAACCGCAGCCCUGCCUUCUAAACUGCCAGACUUGAGCGUAACAGAGGCAGGUGGAAUUCCCGGUGUAGCGGUGGAAUGCGUAGAGAUCGGGAAGAACAUCGGUGGCGAAGGCGGCCUGCUGGGUUACUGCUGACGCUGAGGCGCGAUAGCGUGGGGAGCAAACAGGAUUAGAUACCCUGGUAGUCCACGCCGUAAACGAUGGGUACUAGGCGCUGGGGGGAGCGACCCCCUCGGUGCCGUCGCUAACGCAAUAAGUACCCC
rnacentral:rRNA from 1 species